rnacentral:rRNA from 1 species
GACGAACGCUGGCGGCGUGCUUAACACAUGCAAGUCGAACGGUAAGGCCCUUCGGGGUACACGAGUGGCGAACGGGUGAGUAACACGUGGGUGAUCUGCCCUGCACUUCGGGAUAAGCCUGGGAAACUGGGUCUAAUACCGGAUAGGACCACUGCCUGCAUGGGUGGUGGUGGAAAGCUUUUGCGGUGUGGGAUGGGCCCGCGGCCUAUCAGCUUGUUGGUGGGGUGAUGGCCUACCAAGGCGACGACGGGUGGCCGGCCUGGGAGGGUGACCGGCCACACUGGGACUGGGAUACGGCUCAGACUCCUACGGGAGGCAGCAGUGGGGAAUAUUGCACAAUGGGCGCAAGCCUGAUGCAGCGACGCCGCGUGAGGGAUGACGGCCUUCGGGUUGUAAACCUCUUUCAGCACCGACGAAGCGCAAGUGACGGUAGGUGCAGAAGAAGGACCGGCCAACUACGUGCCAGCCGCCGCCGUAA